GGGAAGGAUGGCCUAUUGUGCU
rnacentral:piRNA from 1 species